CCUACGGGGGGCUGCAGUGAGGAAUAUUGGUCAAUGGACGAAAGUCUGAACCAGCCAUGCCGCGUGCAGGAAGACGGCUCUAUGAGUUGUAAACUGCUUUUGUACGAGGGUAAACGCAGAUACGCGUAUCUGUAUGCAAGUAUCGUACGAAUAAGGAUCGGCUAACUCCGUGCCAGCAGCCGCGGUAAUACGGAGGAUUCAAGCGUUAUCCGGAUUUAUUGGGUUUAAAGGGUGCGUAGGCGGUCGGAUAAGUUAGAGGUGAAAGCCCGAGGCUCAACUUCGGAAGUGCCGCUGAUACUGGUCGGCUAGAGAGUAGGGGCGGGAGGCGGAAUGUAUGGUGUAGCGGUGAAAUGCGUAGAGAUC
rnacentral:rRNA from 1 species